AUCCUAAUGUUGCUAUUAAAGUAUACAUUCAGGACAACAUUCAUAGACUUAGUCCCUUGAUGAUCACCAUUCGACUAUGUUCACUGACAUCAGAAGAUCUAUACUACUAUUACUAAACAAAAAAAAAUGUGUGCGUGUACUAGUGUACACACGUAAGAAGUGAAACUUUUUUAUGGCCUUAUUUUUCGAAAAAUGAUCUACAUGCAACUUUCUAGAAAUUGGUUAAAUAAAGUUAAAUUAGAUAAAGUUUAAACAAAAGGAUUUUAUUAUCAUAGACAUGAAUACAAAAAAGAUGGCGCGUAACGGAAAAAUGUGACGCGUAACCGAAAAAUGUGACGGUAAAUUUUUUUCCAACGCCGAUAAAGAAGUUUCACUUCAAAAAUUUAAAUUAGAUAAAGUUUAAACAAAAGCAUUUUAUUAUCAUAGACAUGAAUACAAAAAAGUUAAAUUAGAUAAAGUUUAAACAAAAGGAUUUUAUUAUCAUAGACAUGAAUACAAAAAAGAUGGCGCGUAACGGAAAAAUGUGACGCGUAACCGAAAAAUGUGACGGUAAAUUUU